rnacentral:lncRNA from 1 species
UGGGUGAUUCCUGAGCUGCCCUUUGCGGUGGUACCCUCCAAAAUGCCUCACUUGGAGAAUAUGCUCCUUUGUCGCGAGUCCCAAGUCUCCACCUUGCAGUCCCUGUUUGGAGAGAGACAUCAUUUCAGCUUUCCAUCCAUUUUUAUUUAUGGACAUACUGCCAGUGGAAAGACCUAUGUAACGCAAACUUUGUUGAAAACAUUAGAGCUCCCGCAUGUCUUUGUGAAUUGUGUCGAAUGCUUUACCUUGAGGCUACUUUUGGAAAAGAUUUUAAACAAGUUGAGUCAUCUUACUUCGUCAGAGGAGGGAUGUUCUACUGAAAUAACCUGUGAAACAUUUAAUGACUUUGUUCGCUUAUUUAAACAAGUAACCAAAGCUGAAAGUCUCAAGGAUCAAACUGUAUACAUUGUAAGUAAUUUGAUUAUGUCAUCUCUUAUGUGAAAACUGUUUAUUAGAUCAGUUCCCCAAUAGCUACUAUACAAGGUGCUUUGGAGAUACAAAAAUGUUGGUACUAUUCUUUAUCUAAAAGGAACUUUGUUUAUCAGAAGAAUUAAAAUUAAUAUUCACAUAUGACUGACUGCAUGCAGAAUGUGAUAAGUGAUAAUCACUGCCUAGUUACUGACUAAAUCCCUCUGGUAUGCUUCUUGAGGUGGUAGCAUUUCAAGCACUAAUAGAAUAAUUAGGGUAAUUUUGGAAGAAACUAAAGAAGAAAAAUUUCAGAUGGAGGGAAUUGUGUAGCCAAAGGCAUGGAAUGGAUUCCAGGGAAUGCCACAUAAUCUAGUUGUAGUAUGUUACAAAGCUUGAAAAGAGAAAGUGAAGUCUAGAAUGAUAGGUGGCAUCAAAUAAUGAAGGGUCUUGAAAACUAUACAAAAGCACUUUAUUUCAUUUCUUAGGCAGUGAAAGGACAAGAGUGAAGGUUUUAAGAGUAACAAAUAUGGCUUAGGAAGAUUACUCUGAACAUGUGUUAAAUAUGAAUUGGAGAAGGAUGAAAAAGUUGAAUGCUAAAAGAAUGGUUUUGAGGCUAUUAAGACUAUGGAUAUGAGAGGAAAUUUGGGCCUAUGCUAGAAUUGGGGCAAAAGUUGAAAAAUGAAAUAAAUGGAAAAAGACAGAAAAGGUUAGACUUGUCACUUGUGUAUGGGUUAGGUUUGGGGUGAAAAGCAAAUUGUUUGAUUUUUAGGUGAUCUAAGUUUGAAUUGUUAUUACAUCAAUGUGAAAAUGACCAACAGACAAUUGAAAAUAUGUACAGUAGUCC